rnacentral:rRNA from 1 species
UACGUAGGGGGCUAGCGUUGUCCGGAUUUAAUGGGCGUAAAGAGCGUGUAGGCGGCUAGAUAGGUCCGUUGUGAAAACUCGAGGCUCAACCUCGAGACGUCGAUGGAAACCAUCUGGCUAGAGUCCGGAAGAGGAGAGUGGAAUUCCUGGUGUAGCGGUGAAAUGCGCAGAUAUCAGGAAGAACACCCGUGGCGAAGGCGGCUCUCUGGUACGUGACUGACGCUGAGACGCGAAAGCGUGGGGAGCAAACAGG